CCUUCUCAGUCUUGGCGGCUCCUCCAUCUCUGCCCAUCACCAGGUAUGUCGUCCUCUUACUGAUGUUACCGGUCACCUUCCCUCCGUUGCGCUCUAUCAGGGACUUCGCAUCCUCACGUUCCAUACUCUCUAACACACCAGAGAUCACAAACACACAUCCCUCCAGGCAGUUCUCUGCUCCCUGCACACACACAGGUUAUACACACACACACACACACACACGAGAGAAACACACACAGGUUACACACACACACACACACACGAGAGAAACACACACACAGGUUACACACACACACACACACACAAGAGAGAAACACACACAGGUUACACACACACACACACACACACACGAGAGAGAAACACACACACAGGUUACACACACACACACACACACACGAGAGAGAAACACACACACAGGUUACACACACACACACACACACGAGAGAAACACACACACAUGUUGCGUCGUUUUAUUGCAUUAGUGAUCUGUGUGUUUAUACCCCAGUGGGUGUGUGUUUAUACCCCAGUGGGUAUGUGUUUAUACCCCAGUGGGUGUGUGUUUAUACCCCAGUGGGUGUG
ensembl:lncRNA